rnacentral:rRNA from 1 species
UUUUAGAGUUUGAUCAUGGCUCAGGAUGAACGCUGGCGGCAUGCCUAAUACAUGCAAGUCGAACGGGGUGCUUGCACCCAGUGGCGAACGGGUGAGUAACACGUAUCUAAUCUACCUUUUAGUGGGGGAUAACAGUUGGAAACGACUGCUAAUACCGCAUACGACAUCAUUAUCGCAUGAGAAGAUGUUGAAAGGCCCGUUUGGGUCGCUAGAAGAUGAGGAUGCGGCGUAUUAGCUAGUAGGUGGGGUAAAGGCCCACCUAGGCGAUGAUACGUAGCCGAACUGAGAGGUUGAUCGGCCACAUUGGGACUGAGAUACGGCCCAGACUCCUACGGGAGGCAGCAGUAGGGAAUUUUUCACAAUGGGCGAAAGCCUGAUGAAGCAAUGCCGCGUGAGUGAUGACGGUCUUCGGAUUGUAAAGCUCUGUUGUAAGGGAAGAACAGCUAGAAGAGGAAAUGCUUUUAGUUUGACGGUACCUUACCAGAAAGCCACGGCUAAUA